rnacentral:lncRNA from 1 species
GGUCAAAGUGCAAGUGUAUCAUGCUGCACAUGCAUUUUUGGGAUGUGUGCCUGGUCAGAAUUUGCCAGUCACCAGAACAUCGGCAGUAUGUGUUGAGUCCCUUUGAGUCCUUUUUACAUUCAUUUCUAAGAGGAAAAUGGCCAAUAUCAGGAGUCACUGAGUGUCUCCAAAUUGCAGCUGUGGUUGCCUACUCAAAUUACUAGGAAAUUGGAGCCGAGUUUUUAGCAAACUCGAAAAUUAUUGUACAGCAAUGUCCUGUUGCUCAGAAAUACAGCUAAUACAUAAAGACAGUGAGAGAAAAGAUGAAGUUAAGCUGACUACUCUAAAUUUAUUCUGAAGAUUUUGUGAUUCCUUCAAUAAGACUCUAUCA